rnacentral:rRNA from 1 species
AACGAACGCUGGCGGCAUGCCUAACACAUGCAAGUCGAACGAGACCUUCGGGUCUAGUGGCGCACGGGUGCGUAACGCGUGGGAACCUGCCCUUAGGUUCGGAAUAACUCCCCGAAAGGGGUGCUAAUACCGGAUAAUGUCUUCGGACCAAAGAUUUAUCGCCUUUGGAUGGGCCCGAGUUGGAUUAGCUAGUUGGUAGGGUAAAAGCCUACCAAGGCGACGAUUCAUAGCUGGUCUGAGAGGAUGAUCAGCCACACUGGGACUGAGACACGGCCCAGACUCCUACGCGAGGCAGCAGUGGGGAAUAUUGGACAAUGGGCGAAAGCCUGAUCCAGCAAUGCCGCGUGAGUGAUGAAGGCCUUAGGGUUGUAAAGCUCUUUUACCCGGGAUGAUAAUGACAGUACCGGGAGAAUAAGCUCCGGCUAACUCCGUG